GACGAACGCUGGCGGCGUGCUUAACACAUGCAAGUCGAACGCUGAAGCUCAGCUUUUGUUGGGUGGAUGAGUGGCGAACGGGUGAGUAACACGUGAGUAACCUGCCUCCUUCUUUGGGAUAACGCCCGGAAACGGGUGCUAAUACUGGAUAUUCACUGGUCUUCGCAUGGGGGUUGGUGGAAAGGGUUUUUCUGGUGGGGGAUGGGCUCGCGGCCUAUCAGCUUGUUGGUGGGGUGAUGGCCUACCAAGGCUUUGACGGGUAGCCGGCCUGAGAGGGUGACCGGUCACAUUGGGACUGAGAUACGGCCCAGACUCCUACGGGAGGCAGCAGUGGGGAAUAUUGCACGAUGGGCGCAAGCCUGAUGCAGCGACGCCGCGUGAGGGAUGGAGGCCUUCGGGUUGUGAACCUCUUUCGCUCAUGGUCAAGCCGCAACAAUGGUUGUGGUGAGGGUAGUGGGUAAAGAAGCGCCGGCUAACUACGUG
rnacentral:rRNA from 1 species